rnacentral:rRNA from 1 species
AGUUGCUGCAGUUAAAAAGCUCGUAGUUGAAUUUCUGUCUGUAAGGAUCGAAACACCACUGUUGAGGUCUCUUCGGGCAUCUGUUUGCAAGCAUACGUUCGGCCUUCACUGGUUGGCUAUGUAAGCAAACGUUUUACCUUGAGAAAAUUAGAGUGUUCCAGGCAGGCUUCAGCCGGAAUACAUUAGCAUGGAAUAAUGGAAUAGGACUGGGAACUAUUCAUGGUUUGAGGGCCCAGUAAUGAUUAAUAGGAACAGUCGGGGGCAUUAGUACUUUACAGUCAGAGGUGAAAUUCUUGGAUUUGUAAAAGACUAACUAAUGCGAAAGCAUUUGCCAAGCAUGUUUUCAUUAAUCAAGAACGAAAGUUAGGGGAUCAAAGACGAUUAGAUACCGUCCUAGUCUUAACUGUAAACGAUUCCAUCUUAGAAUUGGGUGAAGAUAAUAUGAUUCAUCCAGCGCUAUAAGAGAAAUCAAAGUCUUUGGGUUCUUGGUGGAGUACGAUCGCAAGAUUGAAACUUAAAGGAAUCGACGGUUUUGCACACCAUGAAGUGGAGCCUGUGGCUUAAUUUGACUCAACACUGGGAAACUUAUCAGGACAAAAAAGUUUUAGGAUUGACAGAUUGAUAGCUCUUUC